rnacentral:rRNA from 1 species
AUUGAACGCUGGCGGCAGGCCUAACACAUGCAAGUCGAACGGUAACAGGAAGAAGCUUGCUUCUUUGCUGACGAGUGGCGGACGGGUGAGUAAUGUCUGGGAAACUGCCUGAUGGAGGGGGAUAACUACUGGAAACGGUAGCUAAUACCGCAUAACGUCGCAAGACCAAAGAGGGGGACCUUCGGGCCUCUUGCCAUCGGAUGUGCCCAGAUGGGAUUAGCUAGUAGGUGGGGUAACGGCUCACCUAGGCGACGAUCCCUAGCUGGUCUGAGAGGAUGACCAGCCACACUGGAACUGAGACACGGUCCAGACUCCUACGGGAGGCAGCAGUGGGGAAUAUUGCACAAUGGGCGCAAGCCUGAUGCAGCCAUGCCGCGUGUAUGAAGAAGGCCUUCGGGCUGUAAAGUACUUUCAGCGGGGAGGAAGGGAGUAAAGUUAAUACCUUUACUCAUUGACGUUACCCGCAGAAGAAGCACCGGCUAACUCCGUG